GUCUCUUCCCCCUCGUCUUCAUCGCGCUGAAACGCUUAAGCAAACGUGGAGGCGAAAGGGAUGUUAGCAGAGCAGUGCCGUGUCCGAGUGCUCCACGUGGUGGCUCGUGGCUGCCGAAAUGAGAGGUUCAUUUGAAAAGGUCGAGUAUCAAACUUGACGAUGUCAUGUGCCAGAAACUGAAACUAGAAACUUACAAAAGUCAAAACUUGAAGAUUGUAGUGACGUGUAAUGUUGUGGCUGACCAGGAACCAAGCACCCACCCAGCUACUCAUUCACCCUCCACCAUUCAGAAGAGCAAAAGCCAAAAACUCAUGGGUCAAGGUAAAGAUCCACAGCGACUCCCUGCAGAGGCAAAGCAAAGCUGCAUGCAUAAGCAAAGCAAAAUAAGUUCUUCAUUCACAUCUUCCCAUUGGUGGGCAGAGGUUUGGCUAUUUCCAGGAAACCACUGCUUCAUCAUAUUCAAAGGUUCCUUAGGAAGACAAAUGCCAUAACCGCAAAUGUCCGCCUUCCUUUAAGCAUUGCUUUAAGCAUUGCACACAGUGUUGUAUGGUAUGAGAUAUUCCUUCAGGUGAUUGAAGUCAGCUGUCCUGGCUGUGUUCCCCCCCUACCUUCUUGCCCACCACAGCCUCCUUGCCAACAGGGCAGAGUGGGAGGAAGAAAACCUCCAUGCUGUGAAAGCACUGCUUAGAGAGGGCCACAGCUCUCUUGUGUUAUGAACACUGCUUUAGUCCCAAUGCAAACACCGCAUCCAGGGGCUGCUAUGAAGAGUAUUAAUUCCAUCUCAGACAGAUCCAGUACAAUAAGCCCCUGAAAUUUUGGUUGAACAUUUCGUGACCUAAUCUGUACUGAAAUAAUGUAGUGUGAGAGGUAAGACUUGGAAUGACCCUAAAUACAACUAAUGAAGAACAAGUAAUGUUCGAAAGUGCUUGUAUUCAGUUUCCCAAGAAUGAACGUAAGAAAAAAAAGGAAAGAAGGAAUAAAAGAUUACAUAUGUAAUUAAUAUGUUUUAUAUAUAAUGGAAAGCAAGUAUUGGUAAUAUACAAGUAGAAAUCAUUAGACUGGUUCCUAUUAGAUAUUUUGUUAAGAAAUAGAUCCAUUGUAUAUGCACACAAAUAAAUCUCUGUGAGGCCAGCUGAGAUGACUGGCAGUUGAAGAGUUUUGUAAUGCAAAUUAGUGAAUGUGCAAGCGAUUGCAAUGUGCAGUUGGCUACUUGGAAUUUCAUCUGAAAUUGUGAAUUGACAGCUAACAUUACUAAUUAUCCACCAUUCACACAAAAUGCUCUAUUAAUCCUCAACUGAAAUGAAGGGGAAACUUUCCUUAGCACGUGAUGGUGACCUGUAUGCUAAGCUGAGAUAUUUCUGAAGCGGACAGCUGGAUGUGAUUCACGCUCUGUUGAAAUAGCCAGCGAACAUUUGUUUUCAAUGCUAUUCAGACAAAAGACCUACCGCUUUCUCUAGUGAGUCUGUCUAGACCCUGCUUAUCGUAGCUGAUACUUCAGAAACGCUGCAGGCUGUGGUUAGCGGAGCUGGGGUCACAAAGAACCUUUUAAGGCAGGUUGUUGAACUGUGCACUUGUGCUUGUGUCUUCUUAGUAAGCCGAGUCCUUGGUGAGUAUGCAGACUGGAGGAUCUGCUUCAGCUGAUCAACAGCAAGGAAAAACUACGCUCCAGCAUGCAGAUCACUCUCAUAGGUCAAUACUACCUGCUAUACAGGUGGUGACAGUGUUGUUCUGAGUGAAACCAUAGGUGCAGGUGAUUGCUUUUUCCUGCAGAAUCCUUUCAGGUGUUUGACAAAGAAGAGCAGCACAACUGAAGGUUGCAUAUAUAAUACAUUUCACGUAGCUCUCACAUUCUCAACUCUACAUGCCAAUCAUGCGUGCUUGCAAAGAACUUUUGUCCUUAUUUAGGGAAAAAAGUGAGUAGAAAUAAGAUUCAACUUCAGCUGACUCCUGCACUUGAAGCCUUCGUAUGAAUAUGUCAAGAAUAAAAAGGCACUCAUGUGCGGUUCCAUUCAGCCUUCCCUGGAUUCAUGAGUAGUGUGCAGCUGUUGUCUAAGAAAGAGUAUCCUGUGGUGAUACAGACAGAAUUAGCAAAGAUGAUGUCUAAACUAUAAUUGCUUUAAAAAAACAAAUUACUCUAUUAUUAAAUCAGUUCUUUUUUUUUAUAAAUAAGAAGUGUCUCAUAUUUUGACAGGCCUAUCUACCCUAAACUUUGGCAUUAUUUCCAUAUGUCUUUUCCUGUGAUUUCCUCCUCUUUGGUUAAGGCUGCCAGCAAUGUUUUCAGAGAUCACCUGAAUAUAGAUUGGCACAUCAUGUUUUUUCUCAGUGAAAUUUAUGUAAUCUCAGACAUCUGGAAAUUUAAAUCUGCCUAUCCCAAGCAGUCAUUUUUAUUUGUAUAACAUUGUUAUUGUUACCAGUGUUUUCUUGCACAGUUAUAGAUUGAAAACAACUAAUUACAAUCUGUUGGCUCUAGUUCCUUAAAUAAAGUUGGUUCUGUAUUUUUCUUUA